rnacentral:lncRNA from 1 species
GGUCGGUUGGGUUGGUGGUUGAAAAUAGGUGUGUGGUUGAGAUCUUGAGCCCGCAUCUGGUGUGGUUUCACCAAGUUACUUUAGACCCUCAUCAUGGGAAUGGUUGAUCCAGUCGAUGGGUCACUUCUACAAUACUUGUCCCCCAUUUCUAAGUUCGAAGUGCUCUUUUAAGUUUAGAUGAAAGAAGUGAUUAUCUUAAUAGUCGAACUGC